rnacentral:lncRNA from 1 species
GAUGGGUCGGUAAACCACAUCAGGUAAUAACUGAUGGGUGGGUAAACUAGAUCAGGUGAGAACUGAUGGGUCGGUAAACUAGAUCAGGUGAGAACUGAUGGGUGGGUAAACUAGAUCACUUAAAAACCAAAAGGCUUAAUAGAUUCUUAAAAAUCUGUUCACUAGGUCACAAAUGAAACACUAAUGAAAUACUUCAGUAGGUCUCAAAACACUGAAGACAUUGUUAACUAGGUCUCAUAAUACUUUUACACUGAAGACAUUGUUAACGAGGUCUCAUAACACUGAAGACAUUGUUAACGAGGUCUCAUAACACUGAAGACAUUGUUAACGAGGUCUCAUAACACUGAAGACAUUGUUAACGAGGUCUCAUAACACUGAAGACAUUGUUAACGAGGUCUCAUAACACUGAAGACAUUAUUAACUAGGUCUCAUAACACUGACGGUCUCAUAACACUGAAGACAUUGUUAACGAGGUCUCAUAACACUGAAGACAUUAUUAACUAGGUCUCAUAACACUGACGGUCUCAUAACACUGAAGACAUUGUUAACGAGGUCUCAUAACACUGAAGACAUUGUUAACGAGGUCUCAUAACACUGAAGACAUUGUUAACUAGGUCUCAUAACACUGAAGACAUUGUUAACGAGGUCUCAUAACACUGAAGACAUUGUUAACGAGGUCUCAUAACACUGAAGACAUUAUUAACUAGGUCUCAUAACACCGAAGACAUUAUUCACUAGGUCUGUCACGUAGAGUAGGCCAGAAACCUAACCUCUAUCAAAUAAAAAGAUGGCGUAUCCUCAAAAGUACUUCUGUGCGAAGGUGUUUAUUUACAGAGUAUUUGCAUAGUGAAUCCGGAAGAAAAACAGUACUGCCAUGAAAGGUAUACAUUAAGGGGACAGCUAAAAAAUUUUUUAAAAAAAAUGGUGCCCCCAUCAACAACUCAAUCCAAAAUGGUUCCCCCCCUUGAACUGAAAGAGAGGCUCCUUUUAUAGGGGAAGCCCCUCCCAUCAGAACAUACUAAUUAAUUAAGCAAUUAACCUUCAUCAAAGCCUUCAUUUUCCACUCAGCUAAACAUACUGAAUUAUAUACACUGUGACACGUUUCUCAUGAUAUACAAUAUACCAAUAUAGCAAGUUUACAAAAUCCCAUCCCUACUGACAUGGAGUCUUCCAAUAUGCCCAUUCACAUGAACGAGCCAUUCUAGGACAGGCACUACAAAGCCAGCCCGAUUACCGUAGCUCUGGUCCUUAUCCCAGCCAUACCCGGAAACUACAGAGACUGGAGAGAGAGAGAGGAACAGAAUCAAACAAACAACUCACUCAUCC